rnacentral:lncRNA from 1 species
CUAUGAGUUUGGUUUUUUGAAGACUAAAAGGUAAAGACUUUUUGGUUGGAAAAAAAAAAAAAAGAAACCUACUUCAGAAUAUCUGUAUGGAGAAACUAAUAGAGGCGAAGAUACUUAGCAAAGGAUAAAGCCCUAAUGAGGUAUUUUGCUACUUUACUAUUAGUAAGAAGCCAGAUGUACAGUAGCCACAAAAUUCCAUUGUUUUAUCAACCAUCAUAAAUUUAAAGUUGCAAGAACUUCCAGAAUUUACUCCAAAAAGGCAUCUUUAAGUAUCUCGACAACUUAAUAUUGGUUUUCUACAAUCCAAGAAAAGGGAAAGGGUGUUGCUGAAAAAUUAGAAGUAUGAGAAUUUAAUUGCUAAACAGCAAUGAAAAAAAAAUCUACUGAAGAAAGUUUAGAAAUAAAAUUCAUAUUGUAACUGAAUCCUAUUCUAAUAUUAGGUAGUAAAUCAUGAACAACACAUUUCCCUGUUACUCAAACAUAUUGUUUACAUUCAGUCAUGGUGUUGCCUAAUCCAUCCAAGGAAGUUUGCAGGUAAAACUACGUUUAUGCUAUAAUGAAAAACACAGGUACGAUAAUUAAACCAAAUUUCUAUUGGACCUUGAAAAAUAAGCCUAAGAACUACUAAGAAAAAAGUUCAAGUUUUAAAUUUGGGAAUAUGUCUAUGUAAAUUGUUCUUCCAUAUCAUAAUUAAAAUGUUAUAUUUCGUUGUAUCACCAAAUUGCAUGAUCAGAUGGGAAAAGCCUGGGGGAGCACUCAAAGGACCCCAAACUACAAUAUCAUCUAACUUCAAUAAAUUUCUAACUUUUGUAGGUAGGACUUGCUGUUUUAUGUUUAGUUUCUGUCUAUGAAAUUGCAUGCUGGUAGUGAUCUUGAACCUUUUUUCUACAACUCUUAAUUCUUCUAUCCACUAGUAAACAUCUU